AGUUGUUUCCUGUCAUACUUGCAGUAGAAAAAUGUACGAGUUGUUCCGAAUGGUAUCACAAAUUGGAAAUUUGAUAUUCCUCUUGGAAAUAUAAACAAAUGAGGUUAAAGAUUCGAAUUCUUGAUUCUGAUUUUACUAGUUGGCAAAUAGCAAAAAGCCGAGGUCGAAAGAAAACUCCAGGAAAACGGAAAUUAGAACUACACUAUGUCGUAAUUCUAUCCGUUCUAAGUACGGAGGCCUCAACUAGCGAUUAUAGCUUUCUCGUCGGAUAGAGAUCAACAUUCGGAUAAAGAAGGAAAGCUGAAUUUAAUCCGAGUUCGAGAACUUCUGGCAGAAAAAAGUCUGCAUUUUACAUUCCCGGGACUUCGUCCAAUGUAGAAUGUGAGAGAAUCUCCAUCGUUCCAAAAGCUCGACAAUUCUGAAGGCGGAGAAUAUAAGGUGGGCGUAGUCUCGACGUUUACUCACCAAUAGCUGACUAUUGUCAAGAGUUAGCCUAAGUAUUAAAUCAUUAUAUAUGCACGACACAUCGGAAGUGCUAGUGCUUUCUUCCUAUAUGCAGCUACGGUAAGUAUAGGGUGAGGAGUUAAAUUAGUCUUUUGUAAUCACUCUCUACUGUUCACAAUCGCCUCGGCUUAGAUAGAACUUGAUCUCAUUCUGUCACCUCCGUGACUGGACAUCGUCCACUUUCGCUUCGACACUUCCUAACAGAUGGAGGAAAGAGAAAAUAGGCAGAGAACAGAAGUCCGGCCUCCGGGUAAAAUUCCGGUUUGGUCGGGCAGGUUUUUCUUGCCCGGACAAACCGGUGGCGGCCAUCGGCCCGUCUUCAGUAGAGACGCGGAGCCGAUAUCAACAUGUCCUUCCGUUCUAACUCUUCCAGGAAAUGCGUCAGGAUGGCCCAUCCGAUAGAGAUCGAUCCGUUCGUUCCGGAGCAAGAAAAGAAGAGGAACUCUUCCUUCCAGCCGGGAUCAUCCCUGGGUAACUUUGACAGAAAAGAAUGGGAAGCCAUCUAUAGUACUAGAGAGAUUAACCCUAGCUCUCGAAGUUUCCAGGAAAAAGUGUACAACUUUAUGGAUCGUCCCAAAGGCUGGAAAGCUUUCGGCUAUCACUUAGCAGUGU
rnacentral:lncRNA from 1 species